ACACCACACAGCCAUCGCUGCUGACCUGCUGAUCUGUCGCCCAGUCCUGGAAACCCCCAAUCCACCACCACCUCGCAACAACCGUCUUCCUUCAGUGAAACGCCAAAAGGAACAUCAGCACCACGUUAAUGAGGAUGAGGAAGAGCAGGAUGACAAAGACCACUACCCGCUGGGUCUCCGGGUUCAUGUUGCAGCGGAGGAACGUGUGAAGUGCGCUCCAUUUAUGCCUACUUGGGUCUGGCCCCUUUGCCAUGGCCAGCGAUGGCCCGCUCAGCCCUCAGACAAAAACAGUUCUUUAGCUGGUUACUGCACGGUUCCUGGGGCGGGGGAAGGAGGGAGAAGGGAGGGAAGAAGGGAGUUACACACAAUAGAGCUCUUCUGCAGCUGUCAGAAGUCUAAUGGACUCGGUAUAGCCAUUAUUGGCACAUAACGAGAUACAGCACAUGUGCCAGAACCCCCCUUCUUCCCAUCAAGCAAUCCGGCUUCUUUCUUUCUAACUCGGCAUAGCAACGGGUUUUCACUUCUUCUUCAGCAAAGCAACCGCCUCCGUUACGUUAGCAGAAAGAAGACAUUUAAUUCCUUAUUGCAGGAAGCCUGCGCGUGCUGGUGCACAGCGA